rnacentral:lncRNA from 1 species
UCUAUAGCACAGCACAGGGAACCAUAUCCAAUCACUUGUGAUAGAACAUGAUGGAAGACAGCACGAGAAAAAGAAUGUGUAUAUAUAUAUAUACACAUGCACACACAUAUAUGACUGGGUCACUAUGCUGUACAGCAGAAAUUGACACAAAUUUGUAAAUCAACUGUACUUUAAUUUAAAAAUUUUUUUAAAAAAGAAAGAAAAAGAAAAUUAAAGUAGCCAGGGCCUUUGCCUACUAUGCAGAGUUUCCUGUGAUCUAACCAGUUCUCAUUAGCUCACAUCAUUCACAAAACACUCUGAGGGGAGCGUGUCUCAAAAGAAGUCUAUAACCCAGGACAAAGCAGUGCUUCAAGUGAGAUGGCCCCCAAAUGGUCAUGGGCUUAGCGGUGGCUGAACCCUAUCUGAUGAGAAUCCAGAAAGUCUUUGGGGAUAAGCCUAAAAGAAGGAGAAAUAUUUCAACAGGUAGAGAUGGGGUAUGAAUAUAAAAUGUUCCUCUAGAGUUCUCAAACAUUCACACCUUGAAAUUUUCCCCUGAAAUGUGUUGGGCUUAAUUAAUUCCAUCUAAACCCCUCAUUUGCCUCUUUUCUCUUUGCUUCAGUUGCAGUGAAAUGUGAACGCUGUGUUCCUGCUUCCUCCCACUGGUUUGUGGAAGCAGAAUGCCUGGGAACAGAAGGGGCGAUGUUGAGAAUGAGUGGCAAAUGCCAUUCUUGACACGUGACCCUGGUUGCAGGAUGCUGCUCAUCAGCUUCAGGAAAGAGUGCUCCAGAAGCCUGAUGUUUUUACACCAAAAAUAUGCUUAAGCCAAAUAAGUUUUGCAAGAUUGCUAAGGCAUCAUUUAUUAACUGCAGCUCAUGGUGUCUCAAGCACAGGUCACAGGCAGCACCUGGGUUUAGGCACAUCUUGCUCUGUAUUCUGUUCCCCAGCAAGGUCAAUGCCGUGCCUUGUCGCAGACAAUAGAGCCUGCACUGUAGUUGUCCAGGAGACCCAGCCUUCCGCUGGUACAUUGGCACUUUCUAUAAUGCCUGCCUUUCAUCUGGAGGAUGCCAGGAAAUGCAAUGCUGGUGUUCUCUGUACAUUCAUUAAUUAGCUCUGCAAAUAGGACAUUGUCAUUGACAAUGGAACAAAUGGCACUGGCCCUUCUUUUGCGUUUGUUUGGUUUUUUGUUUUGGUUUUUUGGCCACCCCACAGCAUAUAGAGUUCCUAGGCCAGGGGGGAUCAGAUCUGAGGCACAGUUGCAACCUACACCACAGCUGUGGCAACUCAGGAUCCUUUAACCCACCAUGCUAGACCAGGGAUUGAACUUAUGUCUUGCUGCUUCAGAGAUGCUGCUGAUCACAUUCUGGCACAGCAGGAACUCCAGCACUGGCCCUUCUUGUUUUAUUUGAAAUCAAGAUAACUCUUGGUAACGGGUCUAGAAUAUAUCACCAGGACUAAAAACAUACGCAUUAGGUAACAUCUCCUCUAAUUGCAGUGUAAGGACACCCAACGGUUUGUGGACAUAUUUUCAAAGGAGCUGCAAGUUCUCUAAUUUUUUUUUUUUUUGGUAUGUUUUCAUUUCAAUGCUUACAUUAAUGUAAAUACAUCCUCUGGGUAAUCACUGUAUAACCAAUUAUCUCCCCAGAUUUCAUUGUUCAUAUUUGCAUUUAUAUUUAGAGUUGUGUCGGAGACAAGGAGAAUGAUCCAAGCUAAUGAGAAAAGAAGGAAGAUUAAUCCAUAAAUGAAGCAUUAUUCCCAAAUCAGAACAAAUUAAUACUAAAAUGACCCCCUAGACAAAUGGAGAUUGGUCACAUUUUAAAUAGAAAAAAAAAAAGUGGUGGGAAAAUUGAUAGGCCACUUAGUCCAUGAGAGUAUAGAUGCAGAAACGUUAUUUAUUUUCAUUAGUUGCAUGUAUUUGAUUUUAAUCAAUCAUUUAAAAGAUCUUACAAACUAUGCAUUUAAAACUAAGUUGACAACAUUAAUUGGAUGUUAUCGCUUGAGUUUAGAUAAAACUGAACUGCUCUUCACAACCUGGAUACGGUAAUAAGUUCCUAGUUUUAUGUUUGCACAUGACUAGGUAAAACAAUAGAAAUAUUAAAAAUGAUUUAAGGACUNUCUGUCAUCCUUCUGCUCAAAUUUGAGAAAUAAUGAAAAUUGUUUAAUCUUUCCCAUUUGCCUAAAAUGUGAUGGGCCAUUUUUUUAAGCCAUUCUAAAUAAAAGGGAAGCACUUGUUAUAAUGAAAGGGAAAAAUGGUCAAGGAGUUAGGAAUUCAAAUCCCAGUGAUGCCACCCAAAGGCUGAAAUUCCUUGAACAAGCCACUUUCACCUCUCUGGACCUUGGCAUUAUCAAUUGUGAAAUAAGAAGGCCUUAGUAGAUGAUUUUUUUCAGAUUCCUACCAACCCUGAAAUUUUAUGGUUCUGUUUGUCCUUUAUUCUGAAGAUGUCAGUUGACUCACAAAUGCCUGCCCUCUGCUUCCACCCAUUAUUGCAAUCCUGACACCCACCAAGUGUGAUGGUAAAGGUGCCUAGACUGGCCUCACCUGCAUCUCUUUUCCAUCUUCUUUCUCUUUUUCUCUCCCUUCUCAGAUCCUUCCAUUGAAGUCAAGUGAAUACUAAAAAUUGCCCUUCGUGGUUGGUCUCAUCUCCACCUUGUUCUUAAAAAAGAGUUACAAGUAGGUUUUGUCCCCCCAAGAUCCCAACCCUCACCUCAUUACCACUGAGAGCAGGUGAACUUGAAAUUAUUCAUCACCUAUGGGGUGGACUUGAGAGAAAAGAAGAGCUGAUGGCAUAGAGCUUACACCUGACGUGGUCAGAUCUUAAGCUAGAGUGGUGUGGAAACCCACCACUAGGAUGUCCCCCGGGGGUCCUUCCCAACAUCCAUGUUAUGGUGUCAUCCCCCCCCUACACUGACUAGAGCUGACCUGUGUAACCAGUAGGAUGUUACAGAAAUGACAAUGUGACUUCUGAGGAAAAGUCAUAAAAGAGCUGCUUCCAUCUUGCUCACUCGUGGAUCACUCCCUCUGGGGGGAAGGAAGCCAGCCACUGUGUCUUGGGGACACUCCGACAGCCUAUGGAGACUCCACGUGGUGAGGAACAGAGGCCUCCUGCCAACAGCCAUAAGAGUGAGACAUCUUGGAAGAAGAUCCUCUGGCCACAGUCAAGUCUUAAGAUGACCAUGGCUCUGGUCAAUAUCUUGACAGCAUCCUCAUGAGCCAGAAACACUCUUGAAUUCCUGACCAACAGAAACAGUGUGAGAUGACACAUGUCUAUUGCAUGAAGCCACUGAGUGAUGGGAUAAUGAGUUAUAUAGCAAUGUGCAUCAAAGAGACAAAGACAAGAGACAAAGCUCUACGGGUAUUUUUUAUGCAAGUUGGGGAAGAUGUGAGGCCUCAAGGAGCCUCUAAUGUUAUGUUCCUCCUGAGGCCAGCCUUCAUACGUCCUAAGAAAGAGGUCUAGACGUCUUCACAGUCUGGUUAUGAAUAGCUCUGUAUGGAGGCAAAUGGGACAAGGAAGUCUAUUUUGGUAAUUCUCCAACCCAUUGGGUAGAUAAACAUCAUAUAGAGUUAGGACAUAAGAAAUUAGUCAGGGAAUACACAUGAUUUAAACCCAUAUGUAAAAAUCACUCAGCAGUUCUGGCAAUGAAGUGUGCUAAGACCAAAGUAACACAGCUAGAAGAAAUGUGCCUGUGUUCGCGCAUGUUCAAAAGGUGAAGCGGGGGCGGGGCGGGGGAGGGUUAUGUCCAUGUCCAUGCUGCGAUGCAGGGGAAGAAGGACUACAGACACCAAGACUGGUAAAGAUGGGCUGGGGAAAUGGCCAAUGUUGUCAGGCCAGCCCCUGAGCAGGUACGGAAAAGUCCAACCUGCUGUGUGUGUCUGAAGGAGCACAGCCAACCACCUUGACUGGGCAGAUGUCAAUAUCUAGGGAGGUUUUACCUGAAUGUGGAAACACCAUGAUGCCUAUGCAGGCCAUAGGGAGUCAGGCCAUUAGCAGACUUGGAACAACAAGAGAGCGAUACACAGCCGGGGAAAACUCCCCCGGGAAAGACUCCCUUCCCAAACAGAAAUGGGGUUUGGGUCAAGACUUCUGGCUCAUGAGAGAAACUGAGGCAGUGAUUGUAUCAUCUCAACAAGAGCAAAGAGAUGUCUGAGACUCAACAGAUACGUUUGAGCCCUUGGCUUGGCCAAGCACAGUGGCUACCAGACCCAUCUGAUUCCUCAUCCCUGGAAUUUCAGGAAUGAUUCCAAAGUGGGUGGGGCUGGGAAGACCAGCCCUGAGAGACAAACUGCAUGUUGCUGAUGGCUAUUGUUCCACCAGGGUUAUCGGAAAUAAGCCAACUCUGCAAAAUAUUUAUGGAUGUUGAUCAGCUAUAAAGAGGGAGUGUUCCCUUGAGGAUUUCUGGAAAGCUCUUCUUGUUAUGGCCACUCCAUAGAAUCACAUGGACCCUCCCUCAAAAAAUUGGUUCAGAUGACAAAACUAAUGAUGUCACACACACACCAAGAACAUAUGGAAAGAUUUAUUACUUGUAUUAGGAGGCUUGUGGGGGAAGAGCAGGGUGGGACCCCCAGGAUGGUUUAAAAUGGCCUGGGAGAGCAGGGAGAAGAGACUGGGGUUUUACUGGGGUUGGGAGUGGGGCUGGCUGAGGGUUCCUGGUUUGAGCCUCCUGCCUGCUCCACAGGAAGGAGCACCCAAGCUUUCUGGUCAGCUUGUGCAAGGGGAAGAGGGAAGGUGAGGCUGAAAAGCUGCCAGACAUCAAACAUCAAGAAGCAGAGUCAGAUUUUUUAUUACAGUUCUUAACAAGACUUCAUAUUUGUGUAUUACGUUUUAUACUUUCCAAAGAAUGUUUAUCUUUUUUGCAGUAGGUUUGAUUUAAAUGAAAUCAAUUUAAACGUCUAAUCAAGAAAGCCCGAUCAACUUUUCCUCUAAAGAUGCAGUUUUAUUUGAUAAGGCCUUACUAUACAUUUUUCAAAAACCCUGUUAGAUAUCACAGAAUUCAUUGCAUUGCAGAGGUACACACUAUAUCAUGAAUCUGAUAUUGUAUGAUUAAUUUUCUAGUCAUAUCAGAAAACCAAAUGGCUCUACGAUUAUUUUCGCCACAGUCAACUAAGGCAGAUGCUGGCUUGGUUGCAGCAUGAUGAAGCAUUGCUAGCCCAAGAGGUGAGUUGGAAAUAUGUGGGGAAUAUUAUUUUCAUGCUGUACCAGCAAGAGGGCAGCUCCCAACAAAGCUGUAAUCAAACACAAAAAUUCAAAUUCAAAUUGUGCUUUGUGGUUUAAAGAAUGAUUUGUAUUUUGUUUACUGUCUAUCUCCCCACAUUAGAGUAUAAGCUAUUGGAGAACAGAUUUUCUUUUUUUCUUUUCCACUCAUACCUACAGCCUAUGGAGUUCCUUGGGCUGAGGAUCAGAUCUGAGCUGGCAACUACAGCCGCUGGAUCCUUAACCCAUUAUGCCAGGCAGAGGAUUGAACCUGCAUCCCAGCGCUCCAGAGAUGCUGCUGAUCGCUUUGCAUCACAGCAGUAACUCCAGAGAACAGAUUUUACUUCUGCCUUCCUCUACUGGAGAGAGCAACCAGGUCUGGCACAUAGCAGGCACUCACGAAGGAAGGAAUGACUAAUCAAAGAGGUUUAAAAGAACCAGAACUUGAACCCAAGUCUCUUUUUUAUAUUUAAACAUAAACUCUGAACCAUUACACUCACUGAACCAAGAGCCAGGAGCGGGAAAAGUGAGAUAGACCUGGAGUUUGGGGUUAGUAGAUGCAAACUAUUAUAUUUAGAAUGGAGAAGCAAUGAGGUCCCACUGCAUAGCACAGGGCAGUGUGCCCAGUCUCUUGGGAUAGAACAUGAUGGAAGAUAAUAUGAGAAAAAGUAUAGUAUCUAGAUCUAGAUCUAGAUGUCUCAGAGCUGUCCAGCCUCGAAGAGGCACUCCACUCCUAGCUGUUGUUAUUAUCACACCUUCUGAAACUUGCUUUUUGCCUUUGUGGCUGGUCUCUCACCAACCACUGAUUAAGCCAGCCCCACCCGACAGGCAGAUGGGAUCAUGGGUUCUCAUCCCUUGUUGGCUGCUCAGAAAUCCUUCCCGUUGCUGGCCAUGGCAUCACAUAUGACAAACGCAUCUGAUCUUUUAAGCAAGUAUGUAUAUUCUAAUAUUUUUAAUGUUUUAGCUACAGAUGUGAAGAAAAAAAAAGGGGGGGGCAACUGGUUCCACUGGGGCCAAUUUAGCCUGUUUAUGUACUUACAGUUUUCCUAGAAUUCACAUGCUGGAAAUAAGUUUGCUAAUCAUUACAAUCGAGAACACGCUCCCUAUUGAGAAGGAUUAGUAUAAACGGGGCUGCAGCCUCGCACGGUGCCAGGAGGUAUCAUUCACGUAUAUUAAUGAGGAGCUUGCAACAAGGUGACCCUCAGGGCAUAGAACGGCAGGCUGUGAGUGUCCCUUCUGUGUGCUAGCGGCCACCUUCUCCAGAGAAUUGUCCUUACCAAAGGGAGCCUCAGCCAGGCCCCGGAGGCCAAUGGGAGGACGCAUAGUUAAUGCAUGGAGACAUCUGGUAAAUGUUAGCAAUUAUCUCUCUUCCCAGAGGCGGGGGUUUCAGGACCCGGCUGACCUGGGACAUUAAACCAGGACUCCCAAUCCUCCCCGAGGGCUCUUCCCCGAAUGACCCCAUCCACCUGGUCCAGCUCAGUCUCAGAUCUCUCAUCUUGAUCCACCCACACUCUCAAUCAAAAUUCAGAUCUGUCUUCCCAAGUUGGCGUUCUUUCCAGGUUGAACAAAAGUUGUGAGUCAUGGAGAAAGGGGGCCAAGAAAAGGCUCAGGUUUCCAACGCUAAAACCUCAGGAAAAUAGCAGCAAAAUGUUUUCUUCGUAGAACCCACCUCCCUGCCCUGAAAAAAAAAAAAAAAAAAAGAAAAGAAAAG